CUGCCCUAUAAGAAAUGCUAAAGAAAUUCUUUCAGGUUGAAAUAAAAAGACAUGAAACAGUAUCUCAAAGCCAUAUGAAGAAAUAAAGAAUGUUGGUAAGGGUAACUACAUAGAUAAAUAUUAAAGCCAGUACUAAUAUUUUUGUUUGUAAUGCCACCUUUUACAUUCUACAUGAUUUAAAAGACAAGUGUAUAAAAUGAGAAUUACAAUCUACGUUAAUAGGCAGUGUAUACAUAUGUAAUUGUGACUACAACAACUUAAAAGGGAAAUUAAGCGAUGAAUGUGUUUUAUUCACUGAUUAUCUCCUAAAAAAUAUCAAUCUAUAGUUUAGCAUGUGUCUUUAAUUGCCUCCCUAUUUCCUUUCACUACAACUUUCACUGUUCUCCCUUUAGGCUGAAUGUCUCCAGGCUCUGCUGCAAGUGAAGUCAAUUUCUUCGGUACAACAUUAUGAACUGUUUUACGACUUGAUUCUCCACCCAGGGAAAUUUCUGAGCCAGAGAUCCCAGGCUAGGGAGGGAGACAAUGAUGACCUCUCUCUGAGUGACGCUUUUAUUUUAGGAGCCAAAUAAUGGGUGUUUGAAGGGAAGUAGCCUGAUAUUCUCUUGUUUUACCUCUCCUGGUAUGGAAACACAACUUCAUGAGCUGAAGAAAAGGAUGAGGACAUCUGGAUGCAGACACACAGAAAUGGAAGAGCAUAGGAAGACAGAGGUAGAAGAUGGCCAUCUACAAGUCAAGGAGAGAGACUUCAGAAUAAAUCAAGUCUGCUGACGCCUUGAUCUCAGAUGUUUUUCCUCUAGAACUUUGGUGUACUACCCACCCUAUGGCAGCCCUAGCAAACUAAUACAUAGCUGUUGGUAUAAAGAGAGCCAAUCUUAUAUCUGAGGAGAAGUAGGUUUUAAAUAAAAUGUGGGUCUCAAAAUUCA
rnacentral:lncRNA from 13 species